rnacentral:misc_RNA from 1 species
GAGCCCUUUACCAUAGGGACAAAACGUUGCAACGUGGGAGCAACGACCAGAGCGACGGAUGAAUCACAGAUCUGAGCGUAUCGAGAGACACCUCAAAGAAAUUGUAGAACGUCUUGGUAUUUUGGGAACUAAAAUAAAUAGGAAUUGGGUUAACAAAAGAAGGCUAGGAGGUGGUGUAGCUCGUGGUGAUCCUAUUUAUCGACCAAUUUCUGCAUGUAGGCAAUAUGUCUACUAUGAUGAUUCAGAGAAAGAAGAUGACUAUGAACCAAUCAAGUUCAAUAGGCAUCAACGAUAUGGAGAUUAUAGGUAAGGACGCGCAUAUGAAUAUAAUGAAAGAGAAAGUAAGGAUUAUCAGUUAAAAAUUGAUAUUCUUUAUUUCUAUAAGGAUCCCAUAUAGAAGAAUUCUUAGAUUGGGUAGCAAAUGUAAAUAGAUUCCUUGACUAUAUGUACAUAACACCUAAAAGGCGAGUCAAAUUGGUGGCAUGUCAGUUAAACGGUGGUGCUUCUACAUGGUAGGAGCGGCUACAAUCUAUAAGGAAGCGAGAAAGAAAAGAACAAGUUCAUACGUAGUACAUGAUGCGGUACUUGUUACAAUAGGAGUUUUUGCCUUAUUAUGAACAAAUUUUAUUACAGGAGAAACAAUAUUGUCAACAAGUGAAUAACACUUCCUACAUGGAGAAGACUAACGUGAAACAAGAAAGUUAUGGACGCAAGGAGCUUCAAUAUUCAACAACGCAACUUCAAGUAGAGAAGUCUAAGUUUGAAGAAUCUGAGCUAGAAGCUUUGGUUGUAUGUCCUUUUGCUAUAAUUAAAGAUGAACAUCUUGACGAAUAUGUACUAAG